rnacentral:rRNA from 1 species
UGGUGGCAUGUUUUGUCUGGUUAAUGCCGCGCGCGAACGAGACCUUAGCUUACUAAAUAGGUGCACGUAAUAUUUGCUAUGUGGGCAUAUUAUGCGGAAGACUGUGUGUGUUCAAUGCAGGGAGGUUUGAGGCAGCAGCG